AUUGAACGCUGGCGGCAUGCUUUACACAUGCAAGUCGAACGGCAGCGGGUCCUUCGGGAUGCCGGCGAGUGGCGAACGGGUGAGUAAUGCAUCGGAACGUACCGUGUAAUGGGGGAUAACGUAGCGAAAGUUACGCUAAUACCGCAUACGCCCUGAGGGGGAAAGCGGGGGAUCGCAAGACCUCGCGUUAUACGAGCGGCCGAUGUCGGAUUAGCUAGUUGGUGGGGUAAAGGCUCACCAAGGCGACGAUCCGUAGCGGGUCUGAGAGGAUGAUCCGCCACACUGGGACUGAGACACGGCCCAGACUCCUACGGGAGGCAGCAGUGGGGAAUUUUGGACAAUGGGGGCAACCCUGAUCCAGCCAAUGCCGCGUGCGGGAAGAAGGCCUCGGUUGU
rnacentral:rRNA from 1 species